GCCGACGUGGUGGAAUUGGUAGACACACCGUCUUGAGGGGGCGGCGGCGCAAGCCGUGUGAGUUCGAGUCUCACCGUCGGCACCA
rnacentral:tRNA from 2 species